UACAGAGGGGGCAAGCGUUGUUCGGAAUUACUGGGCGUAAAGGGCGCGUAGGCGGCCUGUUAAGUCGAACGUGAAAUCCCCGGGCUCAACCCGGGAACUGCGUCCGAUACUGGCAGGCUUGAAUUCGGGAGAGGGAUGCGGAAUUCCAGGUGUAGCGGUGAAAUGCGUAGAUAUCUGGAGGAACACCGGUGGCGAAGGCGGCAUCCUGGACCGAGAUUGACGCUGAGGCACGAAGGCCAGGGGAGCAAACAGG
rnacentral:rRNA from 1 species